rnacentral:rRNA from 1 species
GACGUAGGAGGCGAGCGUUAUCCGGAUUCACUGGGCGUAAAGCGCAUGUAGGCGGUUGGACAAGUCGUGUGUUAAAGCCCCCGGCUCAACUGGGGAGGGUCACGCGAUACUGCUCGACUUGAAGGCAGGAGAGGGAAGUGGAAUUCCCGGUGUAGUGGUGAAAUGCGUAGAUAUCGGGAGGAACACCAGUGGCGAAGGCGACUUCCUGGCCUGUUCUUGACGCUGAGGCGCGAAAGCUAGGGUAGCAAACGGG